rnacentral:lncRNA from 1 species
CUUCAGAGAACUCGUUACAAAAUUUAAGAAAUUUUCGUUCGGAAAGUUUAGACUUUCAGCUUGUACGACUUUUUGAAAUAAAUCUCGUUCGACAAAUAAAUGAAGUCCAAAAUUUACAAAAUUUUAAGUGUAGACAUCAUACGCAUGGGGGAAUUAUAGGUUAAAAUUUCAUAGAUAAAUUCAAUCAAUAGAUUGGUCAAAAAAAAUUCUAAACCGGGGCUAUUUGUUCCCGGGUACAAUCUGACAGCUCUUGGGAAAAUGUUCAUAACUUGAGUUUUAUAGAUCCAGAAUUCAUGAUUCCAAAUCCGAGAGAUAGAUAACUCGUAUGGCUAUAUUUUCCAAAUAGAAUCACCUCAAAAUUCCAAGUAUUUUGGCCUGGCCGAGUUUUUAAACUUUGGCAGAAACUGGAAAUAUU